GUCUUAAUAGUUUAUGUUAAAACACUGAUCUUGUAAAUCAAAAAUAGAAUUAUUUCUUUAAGAUU
rnacentral:tRNA from 1 species